GACGAACGCUGGCGGCAUGCUUUACACAUGCAAGUCGAACGGUAACAGGUCUUCGGAUGCUGACGAGUGGCGAACGGGUGAGUAAUACAUCGGAACGUGCCUGGUAGUGGGGGAUAACUACUCGAAAGAGUAGCUAAUACCGCAUGAGAUCUACGGAUGAAAGCAGGGGACCUUCGGGCCUUGUGCUACUAGAGCGGCUGAUGGCAGAUUAGGUAGUUGGUGGGGUAAAGGCUUACCAAGCCUGCGAUCUGUAGCUGGUCUGAGAGGACGACCAGCCACACUGGGACUGAGACACGGCCCAGACUCCUACGGGAGGCAGCAGUGGGGAAUUUUGGACAAUGGGCGAAAGCCUGAUCCAGCAAUGCCGCGUGCAGGAUGAAGGCCCUCGGGUUGUAAACUGCUUUUGUACGGAACGAAAAGCCUGGGGCUAAUAUCCCCGGGUCAUGACGGUACCGUAAGAAUAAGCACCGGCUAACUACGUGCCAGCCGCCGCCGUAAUAC
rnacentral:rRNA from 1 species